AUUGAACGCUGGCGGCAGGCUUAACACAUGCAAGUCGAGCGGGGGAAGGUAGCUUGCUACCGGACCUAGCGGCGGACGGGUGAGUAAUGCUUAGGAAUCUGCCUAUUAGUGGGGGACAACAUCUCGAAAGGGAUGCUAAUACCGCAUACGUCCUACGGGAGAAAGCAGGGGAUCUUCGGACCUUGCGCUAAUAGAUGAGCCUAAAUCGGAUUAGCUAGUUUGUGGGGUAAAGGCCUACCAAGGCGACGAUCUGUAGCGGGUCUGAGAGGAUGAUCCGCCACACUGGGACUGAGACACGGCCCAGACUCCUACGGGAGGCAGCAGUGGGGAAUAUUGGACAAUGGGGGGAACCCUGAUCCAGCCAUGCCGCGUGUGUGAAGAAGGCCUUAUGGUUGUAAAGCACUUUAAGCGAGGAGGAGGCUACUCUAGUUAAUACCUAGGGAUAGUGGACGUUACUCGCAGAAUAAGCACCGGCUAACUCUGUGCCAGCCGCCGCAGUAA
rnacentral:rRNA from 1 species